rnacentral:rRNA from 1 species
CAGGCUUAACACAUGCAAGUCGAGGGGCAGCACGGUGUAGCAAUACAUUGGUGGCGACCGGCGCACGGGUGAGUAACGCGUAUGCAACCUACCUAUCAGAGGGGAAUAACCCGGCGAAAGUCGGACUAAUACCGCAUAAAACAGGGGUUCCACAUGGAAAUAUUUGUUAAAGAUUUAUCGCUGAUAGAUGGGCAUGCGUUCCAUUAGAUAGUUGGUGAGGUAACGGCUCACCAAGUCUACGAUGGAUAGGGGUUCUGAGAGGAAGGUCCCCCACACUGGUACUGAGACACGGACCAGACUCCUACGGGAGGCAGCAGUGAGGAAUAUUGGUCAAUGGGCGAGAGCCUGAACCAGCCAAGUCGCGUGAAGGAUGAAGGAUCUAUGGUUUGUAAACUUCUUUUAUAUGGGAAUAAAGUGAGGAACGUGUUCCUUUUUGUAUGUACCAUAUGAAUAAGCAUCGGCUAACUCCGUGCCAGCAGCCGCGGUAAUACGGAGGAUGCGAGCGUUAUCCGGAUUUAUUGGGUUUAAAGGGUGCGUAGGUGGUUUUUUAAGUCAGCGGUGAAAGUUUGUGGCUCAACCAUAAAAUUGCCGUUGAAACUGGGGAACUUGAGUAUAUUUGAGGUAGGCGGAAUGCGUGGUGUAGCGGUGAAAUGCAUAGAUAUCACGCAGAACUCCGAUUGCGAAGGCAGCUUACUAAACUAUAACUGACACUGAAGCACGAAAGCGUGGGGAUCAAACAGGAUUAGAUACCCUGGUAGUCCACGCAGUAAACGAUGAUUACUAGCUGUUUGCGAUACACAGUAAGCGGCACAGCGAAAGCGUUAAGUAAUCCACCUGGGGAGUACGCCGGCAACGGUGAAACUCAAAGGAAUUGACGGGGGCCCGCACAAGCGGAGGAACAUGUGGUUUAAUUCGAUGAUACGCGAGGGACCUUACCCGGGUUUGAACGCAUUCGGACCGACUGUGAAAGCAGUCUUUCAGCAAUGACCGUUUGCGAGGUGCUGCAUGGUUGUCGUCAGCUCGUGCCGUGAGGUGUCGGCUUAAGUGCCAUAACGAGCGCAACCCUUAUCACUAGUUACUAACAGGUCAUGCUGAGGACUCUAGUGAGACUGCCAGCGUAAGCUGUGAGGAAGGUGGGGAUGACGUCAAAUCAGCACGGCCCUUACAUCCGGGGCGACACACGUGUUACAAUGGUGGGGACAAAGGGCAGCUACACAGCGAUGUGAUGCUAAUCUCCAAACCCCAUCUCAGUUCGGAUCGAAGUCUGUAACCCGACUUCGUGAAGCUGGAUUCGCUAGUAAUCGCGCAUCAGCCAUGGCGCGGUGAAUACGUUCCCGGGCCUUGUACACACCGCCCGUCAAGCCAUGGGAGUUGGGGGUACCUAAAGUCCGUAACCGCAAGGAUCGGCCUAGGGUAAAACCGAUGACUGG